ensembl:rRNA 5S_rRNA 5S ribosomal RNA
GGCUAUAGCCAUAUCACUCUGCAACCCAAGACCGGCCACUCACUGAAGUUAAACAGGGUUAAGCCUGGUCAUUACCUGGAUGGAUGACCUCAUGGGAAAACCAGGUUGCUGUUGGAA